GGGAAUGUGGCUCAGUGGAUCAGAAAUUUUGCCUUGCAAGCAUUAGGGCCUGAGUUCAAAUCUCCAGCACCUGCA
rnacentral:tRNA from 1 species